CUUUCCGGUGAGCGGGUGCAGGUGAUCCAUACCACACCCACCACAAAAGUCCAUGACCUGGCACUAGCGGCUCGGUGGUCCAGUCCUGUCUAACGGGCGAAUAGCGGCGGUGUCCGACGUGGGGGAGAGAGAACGGAGCGGCCGUCUCGCGACGCGCCCGCCUGAGCCGGCGAAGAGGCGCUGCCGUCCCUGCUAUUGGCUGAGCCGGUGGGGCCCUCCACACCGCGCGCAGCAGCUCGGGUGAGCUGGCGCGCAAGACGCCGGCGUGCGGGCGCAGUUACUAAACUUGCUCUGAGUGUCCUCCAGGAUUUCUCCCUGGUCCUGGCUAUGCCGGCUUGCCCGCAUCCUGUUCGACGAAAUGCCGCGUCGGAAAAACCGAGCAUCUGCUUCCAAUGCUCCGAUGGGACCGCUAGUGAUCUCCUGGAGUUCCGCGAUCUUCUCCAACUGAGUUCUUGGCCUCUUCGCUCAUGCUGAAGUCAAGGUAUUAGCGUAAUUAAUUUGUUUAGUUAUAUUGAUUGUGCAGUGCUAAUGGCUGCCACUAUAUUAAGGUGUCUCAUACUGCAAAUUAUAUGUCUUUAUUAGUACUACUAAUGUUUCUUGCAUUGGUUCGAGAUAUUAACUUCUGAGUCCUGACCACGUCCAUGUUUUCUAUGCUGUUGGUCAUGCAUCCUCAUCUUGCACAAGCUUCAAGCUUGGCUAUCUAUGGUACAUUUAUCGAAAUAUUAAUUUUAUAAAAAGAAAUAAAGUACUAGAAUUCACUUCACUUUUAUUACGCUACAGUGCAUAUGUUAAGAGGUCUCUGUUCCAUCAUGUAUUGAUUCUAUCCAUAAUGAUAUUGUAAAGUUUGUAAAUUAUGUAUUUAUUCAAACUUGGUUUGUAAAACUUAAGGUAAAGUCUUAUGCAUAAUUGUUGCAUUUUCAAAUACGUGCCGUGCUUAUACCAUCUGCGCCCACCUUCGCGUGGGACUAACGGUGAUGUUUCGAUCGGGACGUGGGUUGAGAAAGGAUCGCCAAAUUAAGCCGUUAAGCUAAUGAGUCCGAUGUGUUCAAAUGACGGCCAUUACGCUUAAUUAGAGUUUUAAUUUGGCGGUUCCGUCACAAUUUUAGUUCAGUGGAAGGCCUUAUAAUUUGCUGAAUUUUUAAGUGAUACAAAGAUAUCGAUUUUAUCCUAAGACUCGAGACAUGGUUGCACUAUCAGAAGUUUAAAAAAUGAUGAUGGACUAUGGUUUGAAGCUAUAUCUAGCAAGUCUUGAAUUAUCUAUUAAUAUGUUGGUGUCAUGGCUCAAUCAAGUAUUGCAGCAUCGUUGUUUCAUCUUUUUGGUAAUUUACGAACAUUUUAAGGAAAGAUGCCAACUUAAGUAUCGGACUAUCCAUGGCUGAUGCAUAGAUGCAUAGAGCUUAUAAAUGUUGAAAUGGAGAGCCUGUGGGUUGCUGAAUUGUUAAGUAAUGCCAAAUUAUUGUUCCGGGUGCCACAAAAAAUGUAAAACAAAAGGUUUCCUAAGACACACUACAAAAUCAAUAAAGUUUCCAAAAUGUUGGUAAACAUGUAGCUAAAUCAAGUCUUGAAGUCUCAAUUGAAUAUGUUGAUGCCAUGGUUCAAUCAAUCUUGCACUGUACAUAUUUCAUAUUUUUUGUGAUUCAUACAGUUAUGUGUACAUAUAUUAAUUUCUGUCACCACAAUAUUGAUAACCCUGGUUCAGACAAGUCUGGUGAAAUUGACAUGUAAUUCGAAGCCAGAACAUUGAAGUGCUCUGCUUUUCGACUGUAGCUGAUUUUACUGCAUAGGAAUUCAAGAUCUGACUGUCCUUUACUUGUUUUAUUAUGAUACGUAUUUGAACUUAAAGGCACGCAGAUGAGAGAUCUCGAUGGCAAUAUCAUUCUCGGGGGAAUGCCAUGUAGCGCAUCUCCAGUUCUCCACAUAUGACCACCAGGUCAGGAGUGAGUAUUCACGUUGAGUGGAUCCAAUGUGUCUUCACCCUUGAUAACUUGACAUGGUCCUGACUGAAGUACAAUAGGAUCGUGAGGCGGCUCUUUUCAGUUUCGUCUGGAUCCAUCCAAUCCAGCGAGUAAGAUACUAGGAUCCCUUCUAAGGUGUCAUUUCACAAGUUGCAUCCUUGAGGCACCAAAAGUAAAGUAUGGAAGCUCAUUGAAGAGCAAACGGCAUUGAAGGAUAUAGGCUGCAAAGGCAUAGAUGGGAGUAGAACUCUUUGAUCAGCUGCCGCGGCCAUAAAUCUCAUCAUAAAGGAGCAUUCAAGGUGCUAAAACUAUAUACAGCUGCUGCCAACAGUAUGGGGUAAAAUUACUCGCAGGAAAAUCUCUUUCGCUGUUCUCAUCUCCUCUUCGCAUCCUCCGGGCUUGCUUCAGGU